rnacentral:lncRNA from 1 species
CACUGCCGUCGCGUCCGGAACGGUUGGGCCGCUACGCUAAGUCAGGCAUGUGUUUGCUGUGUGUAAGGAGUUUGGUAAGGCGUUUCCUAUCGCCGUGACCUCGGGCUGCACGCUGGGCUUGGGCUCAGGCUGCACCUCGGGCUGCACGUGCAGGUGUCAUAGUCAGGUCGUGUUCGUGUCUGGCGUGAGCUUAAUUGUGAAUGUCUUAUGAUGUUGCGACUAAGUUGAAAAUGAACUCAGGACGUUUCGAGAUAGUCCGGGCGGUGAUUGAUUGACCAGCUGCAUGCCCGCAUGCCCAGGGAAGACGGACACGCGCCCUGAGGCUAGUGGAGGGGUCGAGGGAUUAGCCCCACCCUCAAAAGCAUAAAGAUUAGAGACGCAUAAGCGCAUGUUUGAGUCGAUGGGGCGUGUGAGAAAAGGUUGAUGUCUGGGACAGGCGUGUUAGUGGCGUGUGGGUUUGACACGGGGUGCCUUCCCCCCCCCCAUGCGGUGACCACACGUGAGUUGUCUUCCCCUGCUAGCCCGGUUUGACUGCACUCGGUUGGAGGCUGCAUGUGUUGACGGUAGGGAUUGAACUUGGCGACCGCUAGCGCAGCACGCGGACCCAAUUACUGUCUGUAGGCGACUCAUAGUUGAGGUGGAUUACGUAAUCCAGAUUACGUAAGGGCGUGUGCCACGUUGCGCAGGGGUUACGUAAGCGCCUGCAUUACGUUGCGGCCCUGCAUGGGGAUUGUACGACGUAAUGAGGGUCGUACGACGGAAUGGGGCACCCGGCUAGAGUGUUUAGGCAGCGGUCCGGUUGUAUUGGACCAUAUUGGACCAUAGCACCGGGUGUUGAGCAGACGCCCCAUACCUGCCAACCAUCCCCAGGUCACCUGACUCUGAGCUAACGAACACCCCUGCAAUUGUAACGGCAUACGGUUGACUUAACUGUCCCGUGCCACUCAACAACCGGCUAUACGCGGUUGGCA